rnacentral:lncRNA from 1 species
UCAAUAAUAGACAAUUAUUUUUAUUUCUCCAACUUUUUGAAGAAUAUUUUCCAGACAGCAAAUCAAUAAAGAAACAUCAGAUUUAAUCUGUACUAUAGGCCAAAUGGACCCAAUAGAUAUUUACAGAAAAUUUCAUCCAAGGGCUGCAGAAUACACAUUCUUCUCAGCUCAUGGAUCACUCUCAAGGAUAGACUAUAUGUUAGGUCAUAAAGCAAGCCUUAAAACACUCAUAAAAUCUGAAAUAAUAUCAAGUAUCUUCUCUGAUCAUAAAAGAAUAAAGCUAGAAAUGAAAAACAGGAGGAAUUCUGAAAGCUAUUUAUAUACAUGGAAAUUAAACAUGCUCCUGAAUGACUGGUGGGUCAAUGAAGACAUUAAGACAGAAAUUUAAAAUGUCUUGAAACA